rnacentral:rRNA from 1 species
GAUGAACGCUGGCGGCGUGCCUAAUACAUGCGAGUCGAGCGAACGGACGAGAAGCUUGCUUCUCUGAUGUUAGCGGCGGACGGGUGAGUAACACGUGGAUAACCUACCUAUAAGACUGGGAUAACUUCGGGAAACCGGAGCUAAUACCGGAUAAUAUUUUGAACCGCAUGGUUCAAAAGUGAAAGACGGUCUUGCUGUCACUUAUAGAUGGAUCCGCGCUGCAUUAGCUAGUUGGUAAGGUAACGGCUUACCAAGGCAACGAUGCAUAGCCGACCUGAGAGGGUGAUCGGCCACACUGGACCUGAGACACGGUCCAGACUCCUACGGGAGGCAGCAGUAGGGAAUCUUCCGCAAUGGGCGAAAGCCUGACGGAGCAACGCCGCGUGAGUGAUGAAGGUCUUCGGAUCGUAAAACUCUGUUAUUAGGGAAGAACAUAUGUGUAAGUAACUGUGCACAUCUUGACGGUACCUAAUCAGAAAGCCACGGCUAACUACGU